UGACACUUAACAUGGAGACACUAGA
rnacentral:piRNA from 1 species